rnacentral:lncRNA from 1 species
UAUACAUCUCGAGUGCUUGUUUUCGGCGAUCAACACACACUAAAAUCCACGUCGAUGCCUCUUCAAGGUAAGAUGGAGUUGAUUUUGCUAAUCUGUUGGAUUCUAUCUCGUUAUUUCGAAACAAUUAAUCUCAGAAUCCAUGGAUUUGCUUAGAUCGAUCUGUUUUUCUAUUUUGGAAAAUCCAUUUUUGCAUCUGUUUUACCCUCUCUUUGGGAAUAAAAUCGAGAUUAUUCAAGGAGAUAUAACUGAUGCAUAUAGCUAAUUACAGGAUGGCUUACCAACGCAUUGCAUUUCAUUGGAUUGCUUUAGUGUCAAAUGGUCCUUCCUAUAUUCUUUCUCAUUUCAUAAAACGAACUUUUCGUUGUUCUUGACAUUUUUUUAUAUUGGAUUUGGAAACUUUGGAUAUUAUUUUGAAUUGGCAAAUGAUGUAAUUUCAGUUUUAUGCUUAACACACUGAUUAAACCAUGGUGACUAAAAACUCCGCUUAUUAUCUGAUGCCAAAUUCUUUCUUAAAUGCAUUUGUAAAGCAAAUAUUUUUCUAUGUUUGUUUCAUAUUUUUAGUUGUUAUUGUUGGAUAUUGAAAGCAAAUGAUGCGACACAUCAAUCUUAUACUACACACUGAACAUUUUCAUGUAGAAAAACAACUCUCAAUUAUCUUGUGAUGCUUUUCGUAUUCACAAAAUCAAACGAUUUGUGUCUGAAAAGUAAUUAAAUUCUUUUUAAGUUUUUCUUUGAAUUUGCAUUGAUUGUAUAAUUUCAAUGACGAGAUUCAGCAGACGGGCGGUCUGAAAUGAUGCCAUGUUGAUUGUUCUGCGUAAUAUCUCUGAGAUUUUUAAUCAAAUUUAAGUCAUGUUACACUUUACUAUUAUGGUGUUUGAUUGUUCUUCUGUUACUUUUUAACAAUUUUGUAAAUUUUCUUGUGUUGCUGUGAUGAAUAUGCAAAUUUUAUAUGUCUGGACUUAUGAGACAUUGUCUGUGAAAUGAUGCGCAUACUUCUGAGCUUCAAAUGAUCCAUUUAAUAACAAAAAUGGAAUCUUAUAAAUGAGAAAUUAAUCUAGAGUUGGAUUUUUUAAUGAAGGGCUGCUGUGAUUAUAAAUAAAAAGAUUUAAUAUCUGAACGCUAUUUCGAUGGCAUGAUAGACUCUUUUACACCCAUAGAAUAUGAGCACCCAUGUAUCAACAUGUUCAAAUCAUAAACGUUUUAUAUAUAACUUUGGUUGAGACUUAUUGAUGUUGUUGCAGUGAUUAUAAAAAAUUCCUCGUUCUGAAAGCCAUAGCCAUGGCAUGACAGACACUUUACACCCAUAGAAUAUGAGCAACGUUACUUAAAGAAUUUUUAUGUAUAAUAAGUCAAAUCAAUUUGUAUUAUUGUCUUUUUAAAUUUGUUAAAUUUGAUUUUGUAAAGGGAAUUGAUAAUGAUACGAAUGGUCAGUAGUUCUAUAUAGUGGUGUUAAGCUCUAGUUUUCAGUUUUACAAUUGGAGUCCAAUUUUUAAUAAGAUUAGGUGUUUUUAAUCUGAAUUUUUGAUUGAUAAAGUUGCUUUUUCUUCGUAAUAAUGAAACUUCAUAGAGCAAUUGUAGAUGACUAAUCACUUUCAGAUAAGGCAUGCUUCUUUUUUGUUUAUUUAAGGGGUGUUUGACAAAGCUUAAAAAAUGAGUUUUUUUGAUUUAUUAUCAGUUUGAUACCAGUAUAACUCAAAAAAGUGUUUGGGUGAAAAACAAUUUAUAGUUGCCUGGCAAAGCUUAAAAAGAUGAGUUUUUUUUUUUUUUUUUUUUUUUUUUUUUUUUUUUUACUUACCAUUUCAAUCAUACAAUAUAGGUAUAGGUAAACGAUCAAAUGAGAAAAAAAAAAUGAAAACCAAAAAAAUUAAGAACCUAAGAACCACUUAUUUUUAGCUUAUAACCAAGAAUAUAUUUGUUAAUUUUUCAAAUACAAAUUUAUAUAUACAUCAAAAUGAACGGAUUUGUGUAACAAUUACUGAGGAAUAUAUUUGUUAAUUUUCCACCGCUAACAUUUACUUCCUCCAACUCAAGAUCUAUGAUUUAUGUCGGUAAUCGCCGCUACAACACCACUGUCGAAAGACUAGGCUAAAUCAACGAAUUCCGAUGAGUGACGAUGCAGAUCGGCGAGCGAUAAUGUAGAUCUACAAGCAUCAACUGGCAAGUUCAGAUCUAUGAGUUAGGUGAUCGACAAGGAUCCGCAACAAUCGCCUCCUUCCAGAUAUGUUUCAUGUCCGAUCUCUUCCAGCCACUUUGUUCAUCUUCGAUCUCCUCCAUCUCAGAUCACCACCUCCCUGCUACUCUACCACUGGUGCUCUACAUAUCUUAUUGAAAUUGAAGAUUAAUAAACAUCAAUAAUGUUGUAUACAAUCAAAUUCUACAACUGCAAAAAUCCAAAAACUACCUUUGAGUUGCCAUUAUCCAUUGACCUCCGACGCCUUGUUAUUGGAGCAGGUGUUCCUUUCUAUUUUCUUUUCUGGCCACUCACUACUAAUUUUUCGUCUGAGAAGAAGCAACUUCAAGCUUGUUUGCUACAGGAGAGGAAGUGCUUUUGAUAAAAGUACAACGAUCUCGAUUUUAGAGAGACAUUAAAGGUAAUCAUCCACUGUUAACUUUUAUUGUUUUCUAUAAAAUUGUCACUAUGACUACACAUUGUCUGCUAUGCAAGAAUAAGUUUUAUAUAUAUAUAUAUAUAUUUAUAUAUAUAUAUAUAUUUAUAUUUACUGUAGUCUAGUACUCUAGUCCCUGGACUAUUAUCAUAUUAGCCUUAUUUAUGUUUAUAAAAAUAUAAUAUGGGAUUUGACUUCAUAUUACUUUGAGUAAAUUACUGAAAUCUUUUCUGGGUUUGGCGAGAAUUGCACGUUUACUCUCUAAUUUUUUUUUUUGCACUCAGAUCGUCCUUGUGGUUUGAUUUUGUUGCGUUUUUCGUCCCUAUGGUUUGGUAAAAAUUGCAUGUUUGGUCUUUAACUUUAUGUAUGUAAGGGACGAAAAAUGCAACAAAAUCAAACCAUAGGGACGAAAAACGCAACAAAAUCAAACCAUAGGAACGAUCCGAAUGCAAAAGAAAGUUACGGACCAAAUGUACAACUUUGACCAAACCACAAGGGACGAUUUCAAUAAUUUACACUAUUACUUUUCUUCUUUUGUAUUACUUUUAGCUUUUGGUAUGUUUCACAACUUUUUUGUUUCUAAGAAUUUAGCUAAAUCUUAAAAUUUUAAAUUAUUAAUUAUAUAUGUUUUGUGUUUGAUUUUUUUAAUAAUAUAUCAAUCCAUUAUAAUUAAAGCCAUUUUAUUCUAAAAAUCUUGCUACCGUCUUUGAUAUCUAUGAUAAAAAAUAGUUUUGUUUCAAUCGUUUUAUUUUUUGUUAAGGUGUGAAUUUAAU